UCAGGAUGAACGCUAGCUACAGGCUUAACACGAUGCAAGUCGAGGGCAGCAUGGUCUAGCUGCUAAGGCCGAUGGCGACCGGCGCGACGGGUGAGUAACGCGUAUCCAACCUUCCCCUUAGUAGGGCAUAGCCCGGCGAAAGUCGGAGUUAACACCCUAUGUUUUCCGUUGCGGGCAUCUAAUAUGGAACAAAGAUUUAUCGCUAAGGGAUGGGGAUGCGUCUGAUUAGGUAGUAGGCGGGGUAACGGCCCACCUAGCCCUCGAUCAGUAGGGGUUCUGAGAGGAAGGUCCCCCACAUUGGAACUGAGACACGGUCCAAACUCCUACGGGAGGCAGCAGUGAGGAAUAUUGGUCAAUGGCCGAGAGGCUGAACCAGCCAAGUAGCGUGCAAGGACGACGGCCCUAUGGGUUGUAAACUGCUUUUAUGCGGGGAUAAAGUCGCCCACGUGUGGGUGUUUGCAGGUACCGCAUGAAUAAGGACCGGCUAAUUCCGUGCCAGCAGCUGC
rnacentral:rRNA from 1 species